GGGAAAGUGCAGAUGUCACCCAGGCUUGGUCCCGUUCAUCCCCUGCUCACUCCCAGCCCCACAGUGCUGCUGGCUGGAGCAUGGCACAGAUGCCAGGCUCUGAACCAUGGUGGCAGAGGUGGCCUUGGGGCUUGCCCUGGAAAAGGGGAUGGGAGUGUGUGGGAUUUGUGUCCCACCAGUACCAACUCCCCAGGACAGCUUCAGGCUCUACCUUAGCACCCUGGAUUCAUCCAAGCUCCCCUGCCCCUCAUACCCCCUGUCCCAACCCAUGCUAUUCCCCUAGCAUUAAUAAAGCCAUUAAUUAGUAGAUUGGAGAUAUGUCUCAGAAAUGCCACUUUGGAGCAAGCUGGAAGUGCUGCAAUUGGGAUCACAGCGAUAAGCAGGUUCAAGGAGGCAGAAGAUAAGUGAAUGCCGGGGCCAAUGUUUAAUACAGGCAAUUCCUGCCCUGGCCACUCCUGGAGCCCCGUGCACACGGAGCAGGGGCCCGCAAAGAGAAGCGGUGCGAGAGCUGCGCUCGGUCUCCCGGGGGAGCGGAGCCGCGGCUGCUGCCGCACAGAGCCGCCUUUCAUUACAAAGGGCCGGGAAGCGGCUCGGAGCUGCCAGCAGCACUGACACGAUGCAAGAAGGGAUUUUUCAGGCUGAUGCAGCAACAAAGGCAGUUAAAUCUAGCCAGGGGGAAUUAUUUUUGGUAAUCCAUGUGUUGCUGCUCGUUGGGCGCUGGAGCAGAAGUAAGCAGGGAGGAUGGGCCAGGGCAGGAUCGGAACCCCAGGAUAUGUUGCAGGGUCUGGCUGGCACCCGGUCAUAAAGCUCAUGAUGACAUUCACCCAGAGCCAGCGGCAUCUCGGGCAGCAGCAGAGUGUGGAGAGCCAUGUCCCAGCCCAGCAGGAUCCCAGCCCUGCCCAGGAGCUGUUGCAGCCUGCAGCAGCAGUGGGUGUACACAGAGAAAUGCCACAUCUGCAUGGAUGUCCAUGCACCCAUGCAGUCCAGCCAGACCUGAAAAUAGGUUGGUUUAAAAAAUGCAUCACUUUGAAGUUAUGUAAAUGAAAGGCAGCGGCAAACAGAGCAUGCUGGCAAAAGGGUUUCCAAUUUUUUUUUCCUCCUCGCCAGCUUCCUCCAGUUAAAAUUGGGUUGCAAUUCAUUAAUAAAGGAACAGUUGUACUGAAUAAGCUCCCGUGCUUAAAUCAGGACAGAGAAGCGUAAUUAACCCAGCUCCAGUCUGAUGUGAUGGAAGAGGAAAAUGCUCUUCUGUUUUGGUCCCUUCCCUUAAAAGCCCGCUGCGUUCUCCCGGCCUCUUGGGAACGGAGCUGAGCUUCUUAUUUAAAAAUGAAGCUCGCAGCCUGACAGAGCGGGUUCAUGUAUAUAUAUAUAAAAGCUGUCAUGAUGAUAUUUUAUUCAUACCCCUCUUCCCCUUCCCUUUGCUUGGAAAAUCCAGGAGCAGCCAGCAGGCAGUGUGGAGAGAGAGAAAGCAAGAAUCCCCUUUUAAAAGUAAAUUACAGAUGCAAGUCACAUUAGUUGAAGCCCCACGCGGCGGCAGAUUCCUGAGUACCAGGGCUGGCCCGGCGGCUUGGCCAGCCCGGAGCUGGCACAGCAUCUUCCCACCCCGAGCGCCACCCGUGAGAGGGCAGGAGGCGACAGCCGGGGGUGGCACCGCCUGCACUGCCCGUUUGUACAAGCUGGAGAUUUGUCCUCGCUCCUCUAAACGGAGCGACCACCUAAAUUACAGCCUAAUUAAGGGCCACAAAGGGCUCCCACUGGCAGAUCCUAUCGGUGGGAUUCAGCCCAUUAUCCUGGGCUCAAGGUGAGGGGAUGCCUUCUCCGCCGUUAUCCCGGGGCUGGAUUCCCACCUUUCCCCGCAGUUAGUGUGGAUGAGCCAGACGCUGUCCGGCCACCAUGGGACUGGCUCGUGGCUCUGCAUGUUGAUGGAGCAUCCCUGCGGCUCGGCUCCGCCUGGCCAUGCUGCCCCCCUUCCUCCGCCGCCGCUUCCUCAUCCUCACCUGCUGUCAAAUAGCUGGCUGGCUGCACGGGAAGGCAAACUGGAUUUUGGGUGGCCUUUGGGUGGGGAAGAGCUGCCCGCAAGGGUGCUGGAUUUGUUGUGCAGGGCAGGGAGUGUGGUGAAGCAGAGCAGGUCUAUUGAAACUGGGAGUGCUGCAGGGCUGGCUUGAUGUGAGAGGCAGAUGCUGAAUUCCACACGGGGCCAGCCACAGAUCCAUCAACUCCUCCUCUGCCCCUGCUGAAGCUACGCUGUGUCACCUCUCACUGUCCCUGUGUCACCUGGGGUGAGGUGAGGUGAAUGCCCAGAGGGAUGCAGCCAGUCAGCGCCAGCGCUGUGGGAGCACCCCCAGAGGAGCAGCCCUGAGAUGGGGACAGGCAGAAGGACCUCCACAAUGGGGAAGUACAGCAGUACCCCUGUGCCACAGGGCUGCCCCCUUAGCCCUGGGUAUGGAGCUGGAGCAGGGGUGGCAGUGCUCCAUGGCACCACUCCCCCCACUCCACCAGGGACCUCCCUGGGGACCUUCUCCAUGUUUCUUCUGCCUCACUCCCAAUGCCUGCCCAUGUCCACCCCUUGUACCUCUACCCCAAGGGAUUUUGAGGCUUUAAUAGUUUUAUUAAAAACUAACAGGUUGGUUCCCAGAGCACAGGGAUGCUGGACCCUGCCAUGAACCCACCAUACAGCCCACUGAGUGGCUGGGUUCUGGUGUGGAGGGAAUAGGGGCAUUGCCAGGGUUCAUCCUGCCCGGCCACACACCAGCAUGCCUGGGCAAAUGAAUCCCUGGGGAUGAAGGAGAUCUGGGUGAUGCCAGCCAGCCCUUUUGUAGCAGAGUUGUUUCUGGUGAGGAGGAAAAAAAGAGAAAAAUGAGUGUUUGUUUCUUUCUGAGAAGAUUGCUCUCUGCACGCUCCUUGUAUUUAGUUAUUAUUAAAGGGUUGUUUUGCUGUCAGUGAAAGCCUGCAAUUACAGGCUCUCUCUUCUUUUCCUGGCUGUCACUAUUCCCCAUGAAAGCAUUGCCCACAAUUUUAGCAUUUCUGCAUUACAAUGUAAAGAAAAAGAAAUUGGGAUUUGGGCUGACACUUUCCAUGUGCACACGGCUGGUUUCAAGCUCCUCUGAUUGUCCCCCCCACCAAAAAAACAUCAUUUUGGGGGUCAGACCAGAGCAGAAUGUAGCUGUGCACUAGCAGAGGCUCUUUGGUCUUUACCCCCUUGCUUGUUCAACCCAUAACCAGGCAAAAAGUUCACAGGAAUCCUACCAAUGCCAGUGCUGUGGUCAGGAAGCCAACACCACCUCACACCCUUCUCCCCUAAGUGUGCUGUGCAGAAAAAAAAGAUACUAUUUUCACUGAAGAUCCUUAUAAAUUUCCCUUGGUCAAAUAAUUCAUGGCUGAUGGCUGGAAAUACACUUGGUGCCCUGUAUCUGUCUGUGCCAGCUCUGCAUUGUGCCUGCCACACCAUAAAUCCCUUCCCCGACCCCACGAAACCUGGGAUAUCCCCAGCCAGAACCAGCAUCCAUGUGGAGCCAGCGAUGCAGCAGAUGGGGCAGACUUGGCUCUGCUGGACCCCAAAUCCUCAACGUUCCUAGAGGAAUUCCCCCAAAGUUCAUGGGGACACUUCUCUCUCCAAACCCUCCUCCCUGGCUGUAUCACCACUAAUCUAAUGUGGCUAAUUUUAAACGAAGCUGCCCUCCCUUGACAUGCAUCUCCCCGUGGCAUUGAAAUUAAAUGUAGGCUGUAAUUUGGCAUUUGAGAAGCGAAAGGGAUGGUGGCCCUAAGGGAAAAGAUAACAGCUUGGCUGUUUGUGUUAAAUAGCUGUCUGCUAGCUUCAAACUGCAGCCGGAGAUUCAGCUCACCGCGGGCAGGCUGCCAGCCCCGGCCUGCUUUUGGCUCCAGCUCCUUCACAGCAGGAAGCUCAGAGGGGGGAUCUCAGCCCUGACCCCCCCACUGCAUCUCACAGGGCAUCUGCUUGUUCCCCACCCUCCGUGGCUUCUGCUAAAACUGUCUGGCAGGCUCCUUGCUCCAGCUCCAGGGGCCGUGGCCACCAGGAAAGCAGCAGGGAUGGAUGCACAGCCAUGGGCAAGGAGAAGUGCAGUCCUCUGGGGCAUUCUGAACGUGCCAUGGGGCAGCACAGCCUGGCAGGGCAUCCCAAUUCCAUGCUGCACCUUGUGAGGUGGUGGCAGCCCAUCAGGGACAUCCCUGCCAAGUGCUGCACCAGUGUGGAUUUGCAGCUGGCGAUGCUGGGAUUUGGCCUCAGCAUGGCACACAGGUCUCUAGAUUGGCUCCAGACCCCAGCCCUCCUUGCAAGUGAAAACUCUCUGCCACCUGAAGACUUUGCUUUAAAUAAAAGUUUGCUUGACUCAAA